rnacentral:rRNA from 1 species
UUACGGUCAAAUCACGCUGAAAACACCGGUUCUCGUUCGAUCACCGAAGUUAAGCAUCGUAGAGUCAGGUCAGUACUUAGAUGGGGGACCGCUUGGGAACACCUGGUACUGUAAG